UUGGUCAAUUGUAGUUCGUCGGAUUUAUGGAAAAUCAAAUCAAAUCCCGUGAUAUUCUCAUCUACCUUCUUAAUCCCAAUGGUAUGGGGUUUUCGAAUUUGUAUCAUUCAGUUGUUCAGAUUUGUUUUUUCAGUCAUUUUGCUUUUCAUCUUCUUUGAUUUCACGUGGUGGCAGCUGGCCUUGGCGCGCCGGUUUUAUGGCUGUGGUGGCGACGAUGCCGCUGCCACCCCCUCCCCCAUCGCCGUUGCUUCUCCCCGACCCACUCGGCUCCCACCGAUCUGCUCGUCGACGACGAAAACCCCUCAUUCCUUUAAUCCCCCUUAUAAAUCCCCUCGUCACCCCAAUUUCCACGUCGUGCCGCUUGCUCUUGCGCUAAAGAUUCAAUUUUUUCGAAAUCUUGGGUUGUAGAAUUCAUCACUUGCUUUCUUGUAGGUGUGGUUAAUCAUGAUUAGAGAGCGGGAUUCUCUAGAAGCAUAUGUGUGGCAAGAGACGUGGAAAAAUCUGAAUUCAAGAAUUUUUGCUGUUGGAAACACUAUAUAAUCUCUGGUGGAUUUCUCUAUAAUUUAGUUUGUAAUUAACUAGUGGAUGAUUUCGACAUGUCUAUGUAGUUAUAUCUUUUUCAUUGUUUUUGUUGGGUUUUUUAAGUUUGUUAAUGGAAUGUUCCUUAAAGUUUU